UGGGGAAUAUUGCACAAUGGGCGCAAGCCUGAUGCAGCAACGCCGCGUGAGGGACGACGGCCUUCGGGUUGUAAACCUCUUUUAGUAGGGAAGAAGCGAAAGUGACGGUACCUGCAGAAAAAGCACCGGCUAACUACGUGCCAGCAGCCGCGGUAAUACGUAGGGUGCGAGCGUUGUCCGGAAUUAUUGGGCGUAAAGAGCUCGUAGGCGGUCUGUCGCGUCUGCUGUGAAAACCCGAGGCUCAACCUCGGGCCUGCAGUGGGUACGGGCAGACUAGAGUGCGGUAGGGGAGAAUGGAAUUCCUGGUGUAGCGGUGGAAUGCGCAGAUAUCAGGAGGAACACCGAUGGCGAAGGCAGUUCUCUGGGCCGUAACUGACGCUGAGGAGCGAAAGCGUGGGGAGCGAACAGGAUUAGAUACCCUGGGUAGUCCACGCCGUAAACGUUGGGCGCUAGAUGUGGGGG
rnacentral:rRNA from 1 species